UCAAAUCCUUGUACCGAAUGACCUGCGAACACGUUCCGAAAAUCACAAGCCCUUGCUCGGUGCGGGUCGGUGACUUGUUGCCGGACGCGUCGAGCAUCGAAAACAAAAUCCGGCGCGGGAAGCGCCAAGGACUAGCGAAAUAGAGGAUGGCCUUCCCGCGGCAUCCUGGCGUGCCGCGGGGAUUAAAAGGGUCUCCAAAUGAAAAUGUUGUACACAGUACGACUCUCGGCAACGGAUAUCUAGGCUCUCGCAUCGAUGAAGAACGUAGCAAACUGCGAUAGUUGGUGUGAAUUGCAGAAUCCCGCGAACCAUGGAGUCUUUGAACGCAAGUUGCGCCCGAAGCCAUUAGGCCGAGGGCACGUCUGGCUGGGCGUCACGCAUUGCGUCGUCCCCCCCUCACCCGUGUCCCGAAAGGGUCGCGGGCCUUAAGGGGAGGGGGCGGAAGUUGGCUUCCCGUGCGGCGUUUGCGGCUAGCCUGAAACGACGGUUCCCUCGGCGCGGACGUCGCGACAAAGUGGUGGUCCGUCGAGAUUGUACGCGAGUUGCCGGCAAGCUGCGUCGAGGAGAGCAUUUGGACCCUGUGCGAGACGAGUCCCUUCGGCGAGGGGCAA
rnacentral:misc_RNA from 4 species